UCGGGAUUUGGGAUUCGGGAUUCGGGAUUGGGGAUUCGGGAUUUGUGCUUGGGGCAGGGCCAGACCAUGGACGACAUCCCCAAGGAGGUGCUGAGCGACUGCGCCCACCUGGUCAAGGCCAACAGCAUCCAAGGCUGCAAGCUGAGCUCGGUGACGGUGGUUUACACGCCCUGGAGCAACCUGCG